rnacentral:rRNA from 1 species
GACGAACGCUGGCGGCGUGGAUUAGGCAUGCAAGUCGGACGGUAGGGCUUUAUCGUAAGAUAGAGUUUGAGAGUGGCGAACGGGUGAGUAACACGUAGGAAUCUACCCUUAAGACGGGGGACAACCCAGGGAAACUUGGGUUAAUACCGGAUGAGAGUGCGAGAGAUUGCAUUUAAAAGGAUGGCGAAAGUUGUCGCUUAGGGAUGAGCCUGCGGUCUAUUAGUUAGUUGGUGAGGUAAGAGCUCACCAAGGCGAUGAUAGAUAGGCGGCCUUAACGGGUGGUCGCCCACACUGGGAUUGAGAUACGGCCCAGACUCCUACGGGAGGCAGCAGUCGAGAAUAGUCUACAAUGGCCGGAAGGCUGAUAGUGCGACGCCGCGUGAACGAGGGGAGCCCUUCGGGUGGUAAAGUUCUUUUCUUAUACGUAGCAGUGCUAUAUAUAAUGGAUAGUAUAUAUUAGAGGGAGUAGUAGUAUAAGGAAUAAAGACAACGGCUAAACUCCGUU